UAAGUCUGCCACCUGGGGACUACUGCCGCAAGGUAAAUUUCAUAGGAUUUGUCUGGGGUCCGCACAAGCAGCGGAGCGUGUGGUUUAAUUCGAGGCUACACGAAGUACCUUACCUGGGCUUGACAUGGCGUUGGUAGGGAACCGAAAGGUGACCGACCUUCGGGAGCCGUCACAGGUGCUGCAUGGCUGUCGUCAGCUCGUGUCGUGAGAUGUUCGGUUAAGUCCGUUAACGAGCGCUACCCUCGCCGUUAGUUACAAGUGUCUAACGGGACUGCCCGUUGAACGCGGGAGGAAGGUGGGGAUGACGUCAAGUCAGCAUGGCCUUUAUGUCCAGGGCUACACACACGCUACAAUGGCCGGUACAAUGGGUCGCCAACCCGCGAGGGGGAGCCAAUCCAACAAAGCCGGUCUCAGUUCGGAUUGCAGGCUGCAACCCGCCUGCAUGAAGUCGGAGUUGCUAGUAACCGCAGGUCAGCUAUACUGCGGUGAAUACGUUCCCGGGCAUUGUACACACCGCCCGUCACGUCAUGGGAGCUGGUCAUGCCUGAAGUCGGUGGGCUAACCGAGAGGAGGCAACCGCCUAAGGCAGGGCUGGUGACUGGGACGAAGUCGUAACAAG
rnacentral:rRNA from 1 species